ensembl:piRNA 21ur-920 ncRNA
UAAUCAAGUAGUAUGAAAUUA